rnacentral:rRNA from 1 species
AGUGAACGCUGGCGGUAGGCCUAACACAUGCAAGUCGAACGGCAGCACAGUAAGAGCUUGCUCUUACGGGUGGCGAGUGGCGGACGGGUGAGGAAUACAUCGGAAUCUACUUUUUCGUGGGGGAUAACGUAGGGAAACUUACGCUAAUACCGCAUACGACCUACGGGUGAAAGCAGGGGGUCUUCGGACCUUGCGCGAUUGAAUGAGCCGAUGUCGGAUUAGCUAGUUGGCGGGGUAAAGGCCCACCAAGGCGACGAUCCGUAGCUGGUCUGAGAGGAUGAUCGGCCACACUGGAACUGAGACACGGUCCAGACUCCUACGGGAGGCAGCAGUGGGGAAUAUUGGACAAUGGGCGCAAGCCUGAUCCAGCCAUACCGCGUGGGUGAAGAAGGCCUUCGGGUUGUAAAGCCCUUUUGUUGGGAAAGAAAAGCAGCAGGUUAAUACCCCGCUGUUCUGACGGUACCCAAAGAAUAAGCACCGGCUAACUUCGU